AGUUGAAUUUCUGGGUCACAUGGUAACUUUAUAUUUCACUUUUUGAAGACCCACCAUAUUGUUUUCCAUAGUGGCUGCAUUGUUUUACAUCCUCAUCAGCAAU
rnacentral:pre_miRNA from 1 species